rnacentral:rRNA from 1 species
UGCAGUCGAGCGGUAGAGAGAAGCUUGCUUCUCUUGAGAGCGGCGGACGGGUGAGUAAUGCCUAGGAAUCUGCCUGGUAGUGGGGGAUAACGUUCGGAAACGGACGCUAAUACCGCAUACGUCCUACGGGAGAAAGCAGGGGACCUUCGGGCCUUGCGCUAUCAGAUGAGCCUAGGUCGGAUUAGCUAGUUGGUGAGGUAAUGGCUCACCAAGGCGACGAUCCGUAACUGGUCUGAGAGGAUGAUCAGUCACACUGGAACUGAGACACGGUCCAGACUCCUACGGGAGGCAGCAGUGGGGAAUAUUGGACAAUGGGCGAAAGCCUGAUCCAGCCAUGCCGCGUGUGUGAAGAAGGUCUUCGGAUUGUAAAGCACUUUAAGUUGGGAGGAAGGGUUGUAGAUUAAUACUCUGCAAUUUUGACGUUACCGACAGAAUAAGCACCGGCUAACUCUGUGCCAGCAGCCGCGGUAAUACAGAGGGUGCAAGCGUUAAUCGGAAUUACUGGGCGUAAAGCGCGCGUAGGUGGUUUGUUAAGUUGGAUGUGAAAUCCCCGGGCUCAACCUGGGAACUGCAUUCAAAACUGACUGACUAGAGUAUGGUAGAGGGUGGUGGAAUUUCCUGUGUAGCGGUGAAAUGCGUAGAUAUAGGAAGGAACACCAGUGGCGAAGGCGACCACCUGGACUAAUACUGACACUGAGGUGCGAAAGCGUGGGGAGCAAACAGGAUUAGAUACCCUGGUAGUCCACGCCGUAAACGAUGUCAACUAGCCGUUGGAAGCCUUGAGCUUUUAGUGGCGCAGCU